rnacentral:rRNA from 1 species
AUUGAACGCUGGCGGCAUGCCUUACACAUGCAAGUCGAACGGCAGCACGGGAGCAAUCCUGGUGGCGAGUGGCGAACGGGUGAGUAAAGUAUCGGAACGUGCCCAGUCGUGGGGGAUAACGUAGCGAAAGUUACGCUAAUACCGCAUACGAUCUACGGAUGGAAGCGGGGGAUCGCAAGACCUCGCGCGAUUGGAGCGGCGGAUAUCAGAUUAGGUAGUUGGUGGGGUAAAGGCUCACCAAGCCGACGAUCUGUAGCUGGUCUGAGAGGACGACCAGCCACACUGGGACUGAGACACGGCCCAGACUCCUACGGGAGGCAGCAGUGGGGAAUUUUGGACAAUGGGCGCAAGCCUGAUCCAGCCAUGCCGCGUGCAGGAUGAAGGCCUUCGGGUUGUAAACUGCUUUUGUACGGAGCGAAAAGGCUCUCUCUAAUACAGGGGGCUCAUGACGGUACCGUAAGAAUAAGCACCGGCUAACUACGUGCCAGCCGCCGCCGUAA